UACGUAGGGGGCAAGCGUUGUCCGGAAUCAUUGGGCGUAAAGAGCGUGUAGGCGGCCCGGUAAGUCCGCUGUGAAAGUCCAGGGCUCAACCCUGGGAUGCCGGUGGAUACUGUCGGGCUCGAGUCCGGAAGAGGAGUGUGGAAUUCCUGGUGUAGCGGUGAAAUGCGUAGAGAUGGGGGAGAACACUCGUGGCGAAGGCGGCCAGCUAGACCAGUUCUGACACUGAGGCGCGACAGCGUGGGGAGCAAACAGG
rnacentral:rRNA from 1 species